CAGCAGCCGCGGUAAUACGUAGGGUGCAAGCGUUAAUCGGAAUUACUGGGCGUAAAGCGUGCGCAGGCGGUGGUUUAAGUCCGUUGUGAAAGCCCUGGGCUCAACCUGGGAAUUGCAGUGGAUACUGGGUCACUAGAGUGUGGUAGAGGAUAGUGGAAUUUCCGGUGUAGCAGUGAAAUGCGUAGAGAUCGGAAGGAACAUCUGUGGCGAAGGCGACUAUCUGGGCCAACACUGACACUGAGGCACGAAAGCGUGGGGAGCAAACAGGAUUAGAUACCCCAGUAGUCCCUGUCUCUUAUAC
rnacentral:rRNA from 1 species